AGAAAAGUAUUUAAAUAAAAUAAAAUCUAAUUUGCAUUUAGACAUUGGGAUACCCUUUUCUG
rnacentral:tRNA from 1 species